rnacentral:rRNA from 1 species
AGUGAACGCUGGCGGUAGGCCUAACACAUGCAAGUCGAACGGCAGCACAGUAAGAGCUUUCUCUUACGGGUGGCGAGUGGCGGACGGGUGAGGAAUACAUCGGAAUCUACUUUUUCGGGGGGGGUAACGUAGGGAAACUUACGCUAAUACCGCAUACGACCUACGGGUGAAAUCAGGGGAUCUUCGGACCUUGCGCGAUUGAAUGAGCCGAUGUCGUAUUAGAUAGUUUGCGGGGUAAAGACCCACCAAGACGACGAUCCGUAGACGACCGGAGAGGAUGAUCGGCCACACUGGGAGUGAGACACGGCCCGGACUCCUACGGGAGGCAGCAGUAGGGGAGCGUCGGCAAUGGACGGAAGUCUGAGCGAGCAACGCCGCGUGAGUGAAAAAGGAUUUCGGAUCGUAGAGCUCUGUUGUAAGAGAAGAACGAGUGUGAGAAGGGAAAGUUCACUCUGUGACGGUAGCUGACCAGAAAAGGACGGCUAACUACGUG